GGGACUGUAGUGUAGGGGUUAUCGCGCUUGCUUCGCAUGCGAGAGGUCUCCGGUUCAAUUCCGGACAGGUCCA